AUUGAACGCUGGCGGCAGGCCUAACACAUGCAAGUCGAGCGGCAGCGGGACCUUCGGGUUGCCGGCGAGCGGCGGACGGGUGAGUAAUGCCUAGGAAUCUGCCUGUUAGUGGGGAAUAACGCGGGGAAACUCGCGCUAAUACCGCAUACGUCCUACGGGAGAAAGUGGGGGACCGCAAGGCCUUUCGCUUCUGGAUGAGCCUACGUCUGAUUAGCUAGUUGGUAGGGUAAAGGCCUACCAAGGCGACGAUCAGUAACUGGUCUGAGAGGAUGAUCAGUCACACCGGAACUGAGACACGGUCCGGACUCCUACGGGAGGCAGCAGUGGGGAAUAUUGGACAAUGGGCGCAAGCCUGAUCCAGCAAUGCCGCGUGUGUGGAGAAGGCCUUCGGGUUGUAAAGCACUUUAGCCUGGAAAGAAAAAACUUUGGUUAACACCCAAAGUCUUGACGGUACCAGGAGAAUAAGCACCGGCUAACUCUGUGCCAGCCGCCGCAGUAAGAC
rnacentral:rRNA from 1 species